rnacentral:lncRNA from 1 species
GCCGGCGGCGCGGACCUCCUUGUCAAUGGGAGCGCGGGGCCGGGCUGCCCGCAGGACGGUCAGGUGGGCCCCCCAGCUCGCUGCCAGCGCGGCCUCUGUCCCUCUCGGGCCGGCUCUCCAUCUUGUCGCCCGUAGCCCGCCUUCUCCGUGGCUCUCCAGCCGCUGGGGCCGCAGAGCCGAGGCCGGGUUACCUCAGGAAACGCGAUGUGGUAGUGGGUCGGAAUAAACCCGCGCGCCCCAGAAUUCGCCUUGGGGGCGUAAGGACAGAUUCGGACUUUUCGUUUCCUAUGUCCACAUUUAUUGAGCACCUAAUAUGUGACACCCGAGGCUGUAAGAAGAGGAACGCAGCGGGCGGAGAAAAGCCAGAGCUUUUUCUCUGUGAGCCGCUGCCUCCAGGGCCAUAGCCGACCCUGCUCCGAGAUCCCAGCCGCCGCUCUCCGUGCAGGAGGGGUGCCCACCCUGGGGAGGCCAGGGUGCCCGGAGUGGAGGGACAGGGCUUCAAGCGACCGGGAGUUUCCAGCAAACCCCUGAUCCCUGAGCAGUUUAUUUUAAAAGCUUUUGCAAAUGUUGGACGGUUUCGUUUGGUGGAGGCCGUCUUUGCACUAAAUUCUCCUGUCCUCCCCCUUCGAAACGCACAAAAUGAAUUUUGAACAGAUUUUGGAUGAGAGGUUUUCUUCCUUUUUUCAUCUUCUGAAACAUUUCCCCCUCAUUUCUUCUCAGAUAAAGACCCAGAAACCCGGGACAGUUACUCGGUGUACAGCUAGUCAAAUACUGAGGAAACCAGUCGAUAUUUGCCAAAGAUUGGGCAUGUUCUGGGUGGUCUCAGAUUUUGAAGAAACGACUUUUUUACUGCACAAAAUAGUUUUACAAUCAGUUCCAUCAGACAGCCCCAGGGGCUCUCCUAGGGAAAGGGGCCAAUAGGCAAGGUUGCAUGGGGAUAAGAGAGGCAAGCGGCCAGUGGAAAACGGUUUUUUGUUUUUUUUUUCCUAACAGUUGGGCAUUUCUGUAGCUCUGAAAGCAAACUUGUUUGUUUCAUUUCAACGAUAGAAAAAAAACACUCCUGUUUUGGAAAUGUAACCCAGCAUAAAAAUACAUUUGCAAUGGGGAAAAAGAAAGCAGUUUAGGGCCACCCAGAAGAAAAUAUUUUUUCCCUGAUUUUUUUUUAAUUUGGUAUUUCCCAGUGUGGGUUUGCCUCAUUUUACAAAUAGCUGCCCAUGUCAAGAUGUGGGUAUGUGAUUUAAAUAUUUUAAUUUGAAUCACAUUUUACAUAGUCUAGGAAACUGACAAAAGAAUCCUAUAGAGAAUUGUUUUAUAAAGUGAAUAACUGCUUCUCUACCUACCCGCCCCUCUCAUUCUUCUUUUCUGUGCGUGUUUUUGGGGGGCUGUUAUGGGAUAAAUCUUGUUUGGCUUAAAAAUCACUAAAACGCAGCCUUUCAAAUCCAAAACAGAGAGCUUAGGUACCCAACAUUCUAUAGAAUGUAUUAUUUCCUCAAGAGGUUGCUAGGAACAGUUAUGUAGAUCUACCAGGUGCAGGGAAGCACUCCACACCCUCACCCAGGUCCUGUAUCCCUGCAAGACUGCGUUGGAAAGACUGAAGAGGCAUUGCUGUGCUGGGAAGGAAUGCUUAAACCUGCCACAGCCAUGUUGUGAUUAUGAAGGGAGCCAACCUGAGGACAAAUCACAUUUUCUGAGGAUGGCAAAGCAAACAGAUGCAAAGAUCCUGGGUCUUUGAUGGCAUUGUGGAGUUGCUGGACAGCUUCCCUACUUUUCACGUUCCUAUGACACAAUGUUAUCAUCGUCCUUGUUGUAUCAGCCAGGGAAGCUAAAGAAUGAUGCGCUCCACCACAAUGAGGGACUAAACAACAAAAAGGAGGCAUGAGAUUCAGGAAGCAAAAAAGGAAUUCAUCAUAUGAAGGAAUGAAGAUGUUCAAAAGAAAACCUUCAACCUCAUGCCAGAAGAUGUUCCCAGCUGUAUAAAUGCCUAACUCAGCUUCUAGUCCUUGGAAAUUAAGCAGCUCAUUGAAAAUUCAAGAGUUCCAGCCAGAAGCUACAGCUAGGCUCAGAUGUUGAAAUCAGUCUCUCCUGCUGAUCAAACUGUGACAUAGCCAAAGCAAUAGGCCUGGCUUUUCAGUUAAUUCUCAGCGAGCCCUUCCUUUCCCUCUGUAGUGGUUGGUGUGGCAUUUAUAAUAUAACUCCUUUAUGUACACUGUAAACCAUUCCUUCUCAGGGCAGAUGGAAGUAUGAAAUCUAUCUAUUUCAGUCUAUAAAAUUAUAUUUAGAGCGUUAGGUAAUGAAUGUCCUAGUAAAGUCGGCAGAGGACAGGUAGGUUAAAUGACAAGUAAGGAAUGACAGGCAGGUAGUAGAUGAUAAGAGUUGCAGAACAGUUUGGGGAGAAGGACUUUAUUUUUAAAUGCCUUUAGUAACACUACUACUACUAAUAUAGCAGUAAAGUACUUUUUACCCAUUAAUAAAUGGGUAAAAGUAAUUUCAAGUUAGCAAAUUUCUCAUUUAUAUGCAGUGUUUCAUAUAACAAUGGCUCAAUCCUGAUCCUUGUAGGAAACUACCUUAACCAUUGUGUAUUUUUUCAGCUUUUAAUGACUAUACAAGCACAUCUUAUCAUAUUUUAUAUUUUUUACAUAAAGAAGUCAUGCAACUUACACCAUGAACAUCUUUCCAUAUCAGGUCAUAUGGAACUUUUUCAUUCUUUUUAACAAUUGCAGAAUAUUGUGGGAAGUAGUUUAAUUUACUCAGCUAGUCUUCUAAUGAUGGACAUUUGGCUUGUUUACAAUUUCCAUUCUUUCACAAAGCCUGCUGCAACAAAUAACAUUAUUCAUAUGGCAUUUUGUUUAAGUGUGAGUAUAUAUGUAGGAUAAAUUUCUAGAAAGUAGACUUGCUGGAUUAAAAGUUAUGUACAUUUUAAAUUUUGAUAGAUAUUGCCAAAUUUCCAUGCAAAGGAUAAAUUUCUUUGUGUAGAAUUGCUUGGUUGCAUGGUGUAUGCAUUUCAUCUUUCAGAAAUGUUGUAUCAGUUUAUAUUCCUGGGCAAUAUGGGCAAACAAGAUAACCUGAAAAUCCCCCUAGAAAGACACCUAAAAUAUUAAAAAAUAUGUAACAAAUAUCUCAUGUAUAGAACUAGGCUUGCAAAAAAGUAAGGCAAAUCCCCAGGGAUCAAAAAAUGAAGAAGCUGAAAACCAAGGGAGGAAGCAGACAUUGAAGCCACUGAUGCCCUGGGGCAUUUAUAGUUGCAGGUAACCAAGAUGCUUGGUGUUUAACAGCCACAUGAAGAUAAGACCUUGGACCCAGCAAGGUGUAGAGAGGAGCCAAGACCCUCACAAGAAUCUGGAACCCUCAAGCACUAAAAGAUGGAUAGAAAAAAAUAACGAGCGAAAGGAGAUAAUAAGGCAAAUUGUCUGGCUUGGCUUAGGCAUACAGAGUAAAAACGAAAAGUAUGUACUGAGAAUUUAUAACCACAGGCCUGCCCUCAAGUGGGAUAGGAGUUCUAAUACAUACUACCUUGGGACACCUUGGGUGCCUAACAGAGGCAAAUGCAAAUCCUCUCCAAAGACUCAUGUCUUCAACCUAGGCUACCUAAGAUUCUGCUAUGGUUUGAAUAUUUUUCCCUCCAAAACUCCUGUUGAAAUUUAAUCCCCAUUGUGGCCAUAUUGAGAGGUGGGGUCUUUAAGAGGUGAUUGGGUCAUAAGGGAUCUGCCCUCAUUAAUGGACGAAUCCAUUCAUGGAUUAAUGGAUUAAUGGGUUAUCACAGGAGAGGGACUGGUGGCUUUAUGAGGAGAAAAGAGACCUGAGCUAGCAUACUCAGUCCUCUUACCAUGUGAUGCCCUGCACCACCUUUGGACGCUUCAGAGUCCCCACCAGCAAGAAGGCCCUCAGCAGAUGUGGCCCCCUGACCUAAAACUUCCCAGCCUCCAUUAUUGUAAUAAAUAAAUCCUAUUCUUUAUAAAUUAUCUAGGUUCGUUAUUCUGUGAUAAGCAGUAGAAAACAGACUAAGACAAUUCCCAUGGAUAAAAGGUUUGAUUGAACAUAAAUUCACAAUCCAAAAUUUCAUACCAAAAGAAAGAUUCCCAUGCAUGAAUGCAAGCAGUAAAAACAGCUUUAUUAGACUUCCAGGAACUUCAGAUAACGAGCAAUCAGAUAGAGAGUAUAAAAUGAGUUUUAUAUUUUUAAAAGGUUUAAGGAAACAGUAUCAGGAAUAAGAUGUAACUAAGAACACACACAUAAACAAGGCCUGACAGGUUUUAUAAAAUAAAGUAGAACUUCUAAAAAAUAAAAAAGUGAUAAUCAAAUUUUAGAAUACAAUGGAAUACUUAAAUAACCAAAUUAGAUUCAGUUGUAAAAAGAAUUAGCAAACUGGAAAAAUCUGAGGGAAGUACCUAAAGUGCAGCACAGAGUUGCAAGAAUGGAAAAAUAUAAAAAACAUUGAAUAUGUGAGCAUUUGAAGGACACAUAUAUGUUGUACUGAUGAUAUUCUACAUGGAUGAAAGAGAAUGAGGGGAUAUGAGAAAUAUUUAAAGAGAUAAUUGGUGAGAAUUUUCCAGAACAGGUAGAAGACAUGAAUCGUUAGAUUCAGGAAGCACAAUAAAUCUCAAAUUCUCCUACUGCAUUUCAGCAUACAUCACACAUUUUAAUGAAAUAUAACUAUAUUUCCCAAAACAAACUGUUAAUGAGAAGAGUGGCGUUGUUUUACAUUUUUGCUAAUCUCUUUAAUGUCUAGUUUAGUAGAAUACUGUUGGAUUCUCAUAUGUGCUUUUGGAUUCAACCUGUUCCAAUAUCACAUGUCAUAUAGCCUUUGGAAAACAAAUCUGCAAGAGAAUGAGAAUGAAAAAGACAAAUUAUGUCUUAGCAUUAUUAUAAAUAUACUUUUGGCCUUGUGUAACUCCUGAAAAAUUCUCCAGGUUCUUCAAGGGUCUUUAGAACAUACUUGGAGGAACACUGAUUUAUGUAUUUAUUUAAAAAAAUUUUCUUUAGAGAUUAGGUCUUGCUUUGUUUCCCAGGCUGGAGUGCAGUGGUGCAAUCAUAGCUCACUGCACCCUUGAACUCUUGGGCUGAAGCAAUCCUCCUAUGUCAGCUUUCCAAGUAGCUGGGACAAUAGGGGCACACCACCAUGCCCAGCUAAUUUUUAAAAUUUUUUAGAGGUAGGGUCUCACUAUGCUGUCCAAGCUGGUCUCAAACUCCCAGCCUCAAGUGAUCCUCCUUCCUCAGCCUACUGAGUAUCUGGGAUUAUAGGUGUGAGACACUGUGACCAGCUAGGACCACUGAUUUUGUGUAAGUUUUUUAUUAUGGGUUAUGGGUGGUGGACUGGGUGUGUUACAAACAAAUAUUCUACACACGUACACACACAGGUACAUACACACACACAAACAACCAUAUAUGCUCUACAUGAAUCCCAGUUUUUCAGGGAAUUAGAAUACAUACAAUAAGGUACACUUGGAUUUGAAACUCAGGGGAUUUCAUUUCUCUUCCAUGAUUUAAAGGGUACUUCAGGAUCCUGCAAUACCAUCUUUGUGAACAUCAGGAAUAUUACGUUGGUACAUACAGAAAGAAGUCUUGAGUAAUACCAGAUAUUUUUGGUUAAUAAGAUG